AACCUUAGGAAGGACAUAGAUAUAUUUUUAUUUCAAAAAUCAAAAAAUAAAAAUAAGAAAUAAAUUAUUUAUAAAUAAUUCUAUGUCGAUCGUUACACGACUUCGGUUCAUGUUAUUGUUUUAAUUUAUCGAAAAAAAGUAAAUAAAUAGUAAAAAGGUAUGAAAAAAAUAAUAUCAAUAUAAUAAAACAUUUAGUACAAAGAAAAUGCUCUAACGGAGUAUAGAUAAUUCUAUGUCGAUCGUUACACGACUUCGGUUCAUGUUAUUGUUUUAAUUCAUCGAAAAAAAGUAAAUAAAUAGUAAAAAGGUAUGAAAAAAAUAAUAUCAAUAUAAUAAAACAUUUAGUACAAAGAAAAUGCUCUAACGGAGUAUAGAUAAUUCUAUGUCGAUCGUUACACGACUUCGGUUCAUGUUAUUGUUUUAAUUCAUCGAAAAAAAGUAAAUAAAUAGUAAAAAGGUAUGAAAAAAAUAAUAUCAAUAUAAUUAAACUUUUAGUACAAAGAAAAUGCCCGAACGGAGUAUAAAUAAAUAAUCCAAGUUGUCUUUAUCCUCGAUAGAUGGCGUUGGGAUCGAAAUAGAUCGCGCUAUGGUUUCGUUACAUUCAUUUGGUUGGGUAUCGGCCGAGCGCUUCGGUACUAUCGUAGAAAAAGUGUAUUAUCAGUCGUAUGAUUAUUUGUCUGUAGUGGUCCUGCUGUUUCGUAUAUUCUAAAUUGGUUUCGUUGUAUUUGUCAAUUAAUAAGUUUAUUUGUUGGGUUUUCCUGGUUUUUUGGUUAAACUAUUUAACGUAGGUUUAGUUUGAUAUCGAUUAUUAGUAGUUACUGUAGUUAGUUUUUU